rnacentral:rRNA from 1 species
GAUGAACGCUGGCGGCGUGCCUAAUACAUGCAAGUCGAGCGAACAGACGAGGAGCUUGCUCCUCUGACGUUAGCGGCGGACGGGUGAGUAACACGUGGAUAACCUACCUAUAAGACUGGGGUAACUUCGGGAGACCGGAGCUACUACCGGAUAAUAUAUCGAACCGCAUGGUUCACUAGUGAAAGACGGUUUUGCUGUCACUAAUAGAUGGAUCCGCGCUGCAUUAGCUAGUUGGUAAGGUAACGGCUUACCAAGGCAACGAUGCGUAGCCGACCUGAGAGGGUGAUCGGCCACACGGGAACUGAGACACGGCCCAGACUCCUACGGGAGGCAGCAGUAGGGAAUCUUCCGCAAUGGGCGAGAGCCUGACGGAGCAACGCCGCGUGAGUGAUGAAGGACUUCGGAUCGUAAAACGCUGUUGUUAGGAAAGAACAAAUGCGUAUUUAACUAUGCACGUAUUGACGGUACCUAAAGAAAAAGCCCCGGCUAACUCCGUG